rnacentral:rRNA from 1 species
GGAAUCGCUAGUAAUCGCGGAUCAGCAUGCCGCGGUGAAUACGUUCCCGGGCCUUGUACACACCGCCCGUCACACCAUGAGAGUUUGUAACACCCAAGCCGGUGGGGUAACCUUUUGGAGCCAGCCGUCUAAGGUGGGACAGAUGAUUAGGGUGAAGUCGUAACAAGGUACC